rnacentral:rRNA from 1 species
UACGGGGGGGGCAAGCGUUGUUCGGAAUUACUGGGCGUAAAGGGCUCGUAGGUGGCCAACUAAGUCAGACGUGAAAUCCCUCGGCUUAACCGGGGAACUGCGUCUGAUACUGGAUGGCUUGAGGUUGGGAGAGGGAUGCGGAAUUCCAGGUGUAGCGGUGAAAUGCGUAGAUAUCUGGAGGAACACCGGUGGCGAAGGCGGCAUCCUGGACCAAUUCUGACACUGAGGAGCGAAAGCCAGGGGAGGCAAACGGG